rnacentral:rRNA from 1 species
AUUGAACGCUGGCGGCAGGCUUAACACAUGCAAGUCGAGCGAGUGGCGGACGGGUGAGUAAUGUCUGGGAAACUGCCUGAUGGAGGGGGAUCACUACUGGAAACGGUAGCUAAUACCGCAUACCAUCAGAUGUGCCCAGAUGGGAUUAGCUAGUAGGUGGGGUAAUGGCUCACCUAGGCGACGAUACCGAGCUGGUCUGAGAGGAUGACCAGCCACACUGGAACUGAGACACGGUCCAGACUCCGACGGGAGGCAGCAGUGGGGAAUAUUGCACAAUGGGCGCAAGUCUGAUGCAGCCAGGCCGCGUGGAUGAAGAAGGCCUUCGGGUUGUAAAGCACUUUCAGCGAGGAGGCGUUACUCGCAGAAGAAGCACCGGCUAACUCCGUGCCAGCAGCCGCGGUAAUUC